UGGCCGUAAACGAUGUGGACUUGGUGUUGGCCACGGUGCGACCGUUGUCGGUGCCGUAGGGAAGCCGUGAAGCGAGCCACCUGGGAAGUACGGCCGCAAGGCUGAAACUUAAAGGAAUUGGCGGGGGAGCACCACAACGGGUGGAGCUUGCGGUUUAAUUGGACUCAACGCCGGAAAUCUUACCGGGACCGACAGCAACAUGAAGGCCAGGCUGGAGACUUUGCCGGAUUAGCUGAGAGGAGGUGCAUGGCGUAGUCGUGU
rnacentral:rRNA from 1 species